AGGAAAUUGAAAGAGAAUUAAAAAAGGAAUGUGAGGUCGUCGAUGGAGGAGGAAUUGAAAAAGAAAAAGAAGAAGAAAAGCGUACACCGUCUGAUAAAGAAAUAGAAGCAAGAAUAGAAGAAGAGGAGGUGAAAAUUAUAUGUGGGAAAAUAACAAGAAUGAAAUAUGAAGGUUAUAUAGUUUUAGAUGAAGCUCCAAAUGCAAUAAUUUGUUUAGAC
rnacentral:lncRNA from 1 species